CUGUGAGGUGCGUCAGUUCCGGGCGACGGGACGCGUGCCGCUCUGCGCGUUAACCUCUUGGUUUACUGCAUGCUCAAAACAUCACAGCAUUGUUUAUUAAGGCUGCUCACCUCGCAUUUAUCUUUUUAUUUACAGGCCAAAGAAAAAGCCCCUCAAAGCGUUUUAACACAAAGACGGGAAAUUUGUGCAAUAGAACUAGGCAUGUUUUUGUAAAUGAGAGUAGAGUUUUUAAAAACCAUUUUAAUUCUUUAAGGGAGCAAAGAUGUCUCAUAAAAGACCUUUGCCAGGCUCAGGACAAAAGGGAAGUCUGUUAUUAUUUUUAAAGAACCAGCCAAGUCAUAAAAGACAGACCGACACUGUCAGACCAAAUUGUAGAAACAACAGGGCAACAGACAGAGGAGCAACACACAGGAGAAACUGACCAACAGUGCAGAUGGAAGAAGACCCAGAGGGACAGAGGAGACUCCCCCAAUCCAACAACCGGGCCAGAAGAGCAACAUAUAGAACCCUCUUUAAAGGUGCGACCGAUGUAGUGCGCCACAUACAAACUAAAGGCCACCAAGAAAAGCAACAAGCUCUUCAGUCCACAGCCACAAUAUACAAUGUUGGAGGGUUUUCUGCACAAGAGGUCAAGACAAGAAGGGCUGAGGUCCAAAUGACAGCUGGGUUGGUGGUGCAUGAUAUUCCUCUAGCCUUUGCAGACCACCUGGGGCCUCUCCUUAAAGUUUGUUUUGGAGAUUCUAAGACGGCGCAGGACUACAGGUGUGCCAGGACUAAAUCAUCCUGCAUAGUUAAUGAAGCUCUGGCGCCUUAUUUCACCAAAGAGCUUGUGAAGGAGCUCAAAAACGGCGCAUGCACCCUUGUUACGGAUGGGUCAAAUGACACGGGUAUUUCCCAAACUAUUUAUCUCCUACAAAACAUUUGCUUUGUGUAAACAUCAAACAUGUACAUUUGUAUAAUUCUAACUCGUCAUUAUGGGAGCGCAAAAGAUGAACCCGCUCACUGUCUGGGUCUUCAUGGGAGGCAAAGUUGUCGACCAAUGUUUGGGCAUGUGUACAACAAGUGGGAAGGUAUGUGGAACAGCAAGCGAGAUCUUCGCCAUUAUUAAGUCCACCCUAGAGGAGCAUUGUAUCCCUUGGGAGAACUGCGUGGCUAUCAAGUCUAGAAGGCCCCACAAGUCAUGAGCAGAUGAACAUGAAUCAGAAUAAGUUCAGGCAUACCACCCAAAUCUACUGGAAUGCAUGAAAUAACAUCUACUUAAACCAACAUGUCCUGGGGGUGGACCAUCAGCUGUGUCUGCUUCACAGAAUGUAACCAAUGUUGUCCAUCUCCAGUAGGCCGCCCCUAUCAACAUUUUUGGGCCCCACAAACCACCAGAAUGCAGCGUACAACAUGGGUACUACGCCAAAUGAAUGAUCAACAAAAUGGUGGUCACCCCCGACAAGAUCUCCCAAGGUUUUUUGAAAAGUUGGCAGCUCUGUAAAUGCCAGUGUCCUAGAACAGGAGUUGUGUUGAUCAGCAGGAUGGGGUCGCUGCUGUUUUGUGUCUCCAUGCACUCGUCUCCGCUGAAGCUCCACCUCCAGGGAAGCUUCGUCUCCGCGGCGUUCUCCUGACAGCCUUUAUCUCCCCCCCUGGAAGCGUUGUCCUACCACACUGCGCUGUGUAGGACUGCGUGCGGUCUGUCUGCAGCUUGGUGUGCCGAAUAUCGGUCGCCACGCCUGGCAUCCCCGCUUCAUACCGGGCGCCAGAUCAGUUCCUUUUUAAACCCUCAUCACGUCUGUGUUUUAACCAGGGCUGUGUCCCUUUUGUAUUGUUGGCUGGAUGUUAUUUUAUUGUAAUUUUGUAAAUUGUUUUUGUCUUUUUAGUUGCUGGAGCCUGGUGGUGCUGGUGGCCGGGUGGUGGUGUCCUACCCAUUAGUUUGCGGUGUCCUGGGAAGUGGGUUCCUCACUACGUCGAG
ensembl:lncRNA